CCUACGGGGGGCAGCAGUGAGGAAUAUUGGUCAAUGGACGAGAGUCUGAACCAGCCAAGUAGCGUGAAGGAUGACUGCCCUAUGGGUUGUAAACUUCUUUUAUAGGGGAAUAAAACAGGGUAUGCAUACCAUCUUGUAUGUACCAUAUGAAUAAGGAUCGGCUAACGCCGUGCCAGCAGCCGCGGUAAUACGGAGGAUCCGAGCGUUAUCCGGAUUUAUUGGGUUUAAAGGGAGCGUAGGUGGAUUGUUAAGUCAGUUGUGAAAGUUUGCGGCUCAACCGUAAAAUUGCAGUUGAAACUGGCAGUCUUGCGUACAGUAUCGGUCGGCGGACUUCGUGGUGUAGCGGU
rnacentral:rRNA from 1 species